UGAGCCAUAGUGAAAUGGUAUCACACUCAGUUGCUGGAGAUUCUGUUAACUGAGAAGUAUUGGUUCGAAUCCAAUUGGCUCAU
rnacentral:tRNA from 1 species